UCGAGAAUAAUUCACAAUGGGGGCAACCCUGAUGGUGCAACGCCGCGUGGAGGAUGAAGGUCUUCGGAUUGUAAACUCCUGUCAUCCGGGAGCAAGACCUGACGGUGAAUAGCCGGCAGGGUUGAUAGUACCGGAAGAGGAAGGGACGGCUAACUUCGUGCCAGCAGCCGCGGUAAUACGAAGGUCCCAAGCGUUGUUCGGAAUCACUGGGCGUAAAGGGAGCGUAGGCGGCGUGGUAAGUCAGAUGUG
rnacentral:rRNA from 1 species